UACGAGGAAUGGGGUUUAUUUACUUGGCGGAUUGGAACACCUGAAGCGAACGGAUUAUUUUAGUUAAAUACUCAACCACGCAAGAUGAAACCUAGUUGGUAUUUAUUUGAUCCGAUAGUGAGGAUUAAUAGUAGUAAUUAUCUAAUAUCAUCUCGGAGUAAUAAAUCAUGCAUAAAAAUCAUGCAUAGUUAAUUCUGUAAUCUCAUUAUUUGAGGAUUUUACUCGAGCAAUAUCUUAUUUAUAUUCUCGUAAUAAAGGUCAAGCACGAGAUUAAUAAUCA
rnacentral:lncRNA from 1 species